UCCCUGGUGGUCCAGUGUUUAAGAUUCCGUGAUCCCAAUGCAGGGGUCCCAGGUUCGAUCCCUGGUCAGGGAA
rfam:TPA: Bos taurus chromosome X, whole genome shotgun sequence.